GAUGAAGAACGCAGCGAAAUGCGAUAAGUAAUGUGAAUUGCAGAAUUCAGUGAACCAUCGAAUCUUUGAACGCACAUUGCGCCCGGCAGUAAUCUGCCGGGCAUGCCUGUCCGAGCGUCAUUUCUCCCCUCGAGCGCAGCUUUCCCCCCCGGGGGAGGGCCGCGCCCGGUGUUGGGGCGCUACGGAGGAGCCCAGCGCUCCCCCGUAGGCCCCGAAAUGUAGUGGCGGUCCCGCCGCGGCGCCCCCUGCGUAGUAGUUUUACAACUCGCAUCGGGUCCCGGCGGAGGCCAGCCGUCAAACCCCCCAACUACAAUAGUUUGACCUCGGAUCAGGUAGGGUUACCCGCUGAACUUAAGCAUAUCAAUAAGCGGAGGA
rnacentral:misc_RNA from 1 species